AACCUUCUGUUUUCUUACUCAGCUGUUCUAAACGCUGGUCUAAGUGGUUAUAAAAGGAGGAUGAAUCAAACUGAAGUUGACUUCAAUGGCCUUGCGGCACACCAUGUAGUUUUAAAUAUAU
rnacentral:snoRNA from 1 species